rnacentral:rRNA from 1 species
AUUGAACGCUGGCGGCAGGCCUAACACAUGCAAGUCGAGCGAGUGGCGGACGGGUGAGUAAUGUCUGGGAAACUGCCCGAUAGAGGGGGAUAACUACUGGAAACGGUGGCUAAUACCGCAUACUAUCGGAUGUACCCAUAUGGGAUUAGCUAGUUGGUGGGGUAACGGCUCACCAAGGCGACGAUCCCUAGCUGGUCUGAGAGGAUGAUCAGCCACACUGGAACUGAGACACGGCCCAGACUCCUACGGGAGGCAGCAGUGGGGAAUAUUGCACAAUGGGCGCAAGCCUGAUGCAGCCAUGCCGCGUGUAUGAAGAAGGCCCUAGGGUUGUAAAGUACUUUCAGUGGGGAGGCGUUACCCGCAGAAGAAGCACCGGCUAACUCCGUGCCAGCAGCCGCGGUAAUAC